rnacentral:lncRNA from 1 species
UGAGGAAGAAUCAUAAUGUCAUUGUUCGUGAUCGUGAUGGAUAGCCGCAAAGAUCUUACAACAAAUGUCAAAGAAUGCUUAGAUCAGGAAUCAUCCAUGGAUAUGGAUAUUUUAUCUAAUCCUUAAUAAUCAAACAUGUUGUAAAUCCUACGACUUUUGGUGAAUUAUCCUAGAUUAUAGACCUGUGAAUUUUUAACUUUUGCAUAAAAAAUAAAAAUUAAAGAUUAAAGAUAUUCCAAUACAAUAACCAUUGCUUUGCGGACAAUUAACAACAGCAUUGUUGCUAUUCCCGGUUUGGCCAAACACAAAUUUACUCACAUCAUAGAGCAUUCUUGCCACAUGGGAACCAAACAAGAACUCUGAUUCAAAAUCAUCACCGGUGAGGUAAUCCUUCGUGACACAAUUGUUGUUGUUGUUGGCGUUGAUCACCUUGUUGUGGAUGAUCACAAGGAUCAACAACAACUCAAAGGAGAGAACCUUCUUCAUUUUGUUGCUGCCUCUUCUUCUCUGUUUGGAAAUUUGUUUUCUAGAGACA